rnacentral:rRNA from 1 species
CCGGAACCAGGCGCCCGCCGGAGACCCCAAACUCUUGAAUAUUUUUACUAGCAUGUCUGAGUGGAAUCAUAUAAUGAAUCAUAACUUUCAACAACGGAUCUUUUGGUUCUGGCAUCGAUAAAGAACGCAGCGAAAUGCGAUAAGUAAUGUGAAUUGCAGAAUUCAGUGAAUCAUCGAAUCUUUGAACGCACAUCGCGCCCGCCUGUAUUCUGGCGGGCAUGCCUGUUCGAGCGUCAUUUCAACCCUCAAGCCCCAGCGGCUUGGUGUUGGGGACCGGCACAUGGCCGGGAGGCACCUGCUUCCCACGCCCGCCGCCCCCUAAAUGACUUGGCGGUCUCGCUGCAGCCUCCUCUGCGUAGUAGCACAACCUCGCAACAGGAGCGCGGCGCGGCCACUGCCGUAAAACGCCCAACUUUUUCUCAGAGUUGACCUCGAAUCAGGUAGGAAUACCCGCUGAACUUAAGCAUAUCAAUAAGCGAGG